GGCUCUGUAGUGAAAUCUAUCAUGUUGAGUUGCAAGCUCAUCGAUGUGCGUUAAGGACGUACCAGAGUCU
rnacentral:tRNA from 1 species